rnacentral:rRNA from 1 species
ACGCUCGACACCUACGGGAGGCAGCAGUUAGGAAUAUUCGUCAAUGGGGGAAACCCUGAACGAGCAAUGCCGCGUGAGUGAUGAAGGCCCUAUGGGUUGUAAAACUCUGUUGUUGAGAAAGAAUUGUAAGAUUAGGAAAUGAGUCUUACUUGACGGUACUCUUCAAGAAAGCCACGGCUAACUACGUGCCGGCAGCCGCGGUAAUCUGAGCGGGCUGGCAAGGC